AAAUUGAUACAGAAAUUAUUAUUUAACAUGAUAGAAAUAAGAUUGCAGGAUGAAACAAAAAUGCUUCAUAAAUGCAGCAUUAUGAUACUUUGUUUCGCCAGUCUGCUAUUCAGAACCUUCCAUAUGAUGUAAAAUACUCGACAACUAUACAACAAUAACUAAUUUGAGCAUGCUCCAUUGUAAUUAGAACAUACCAAGUCAGAAUUGUAAAUUUUAAUACCUUAAUAACUUAACUGUUACUGUUAUAAUGUGAAUAAAUGUCAAUUUAGGACAUUGUGCUAUUUCAUUGCCCUGGAUUUACAUUAUUAAA